CACGUAGGGGGCAAGCGUUGUCCGGAUUUAUUGAGCGUAAAGAGCUCGUAGGCGGCUUAGUAAGUCGGGUGUGAAACCUCCAGGCUCAACCUGGAGACGCCACCCGAUACUGCUGUGGCUAGAGUCCGGUAGGGGAGCGUGGAAUUCCUGGUGUAGCGGUGAAAUGCGCAGAUAUCAGGAGGAACACCAGCGGCGAAGGCGGCGCUCUGGGCCGGUACUGACGCUGAGGAGCGAAAGCGUGGGGAGCAAACAGG
rnacentral:rRNA from 1 species